rnacentral:rRNA from 1 species
CCUACGGGAGGCAGCAGUGGGGAAUAUUGCGCAAUGGGCGAAAGCCUGACGCAGCGACGCCGCGUGAGGGAUGAAGGUCUUCGGAUCGUAAACCUCUGUCAGCAGGGAAGAACGGUCACUGUGCUAAUCAGCAGUGAAUUGACGGUACCUGACUAAGAAGCCCCGGCUAACUACGUGCCAGCAGCCGCGGUAAUACGUAGGGGGCAAGCGUUAUCCGGAUUUACUGGGUGUAAAGGGAGCGUAGACGGUGUGGCAAGUCUGCAGUGAAAGCCCGGGGCUCAACCCCGGGACUGCUUUGGAAACUGUCAUGCUGGAGUGCUGGAGAGGUAAGCGGAAUGCCUAGGGUAGCGGUGAAAUGCGUAGAUAUUAGGAGGAACACCAGUGGCGAAAGCGGCUUACUGGACAGUAACUGACGUUGAGGCUCGAAAGCGUGGGGAGCAAACAGGAUUAGAUACCCCUGUAGUC